UACGUAGGGGGCAAGCGUUGUCCGGAUUUACUGGGCGUAAAGAGCGUGUAGGCGGCCACGCAGGUCCGUUGUGAAAACUGAAGGCUCAACCUCCAGACGUCGACGGAAACCGUAUGGCUAGAGUCCGGAAGAGGAGAGUGGAAUUCCUGGUGUAGCGGUGAAAUGCGCAGAUAUCAGGAAGAACACCCGUGGCGAAAGCGGCUCUCUGGGACGGUACUGACGCUGAGACGCGAAAGCGUGGGGAGCGAACAGG
rnacentral:rRNA from 1 species